rnacentral:rRNA from 1 species
GGGGAUAACCCGCCGAAAGGCGGGCUAAUACCGAAUGACAUCUUGAAAACUUAUGUUUUUAAGAUCAAAGAUGGCCUCUACAUGUAAGCUAUUGUUUGGGGAUGAGUCCGCGUACCAUUAGCUUGUUGGUAGGGUAAUGGCCUACCAAGGCUACGAUGGUUAGCUGGUCUGAGAGGAUGAUCAGCCACACUGGAACUGACACACGGUCCAGACUCCUACGGGAGGCAGCAGUGAGGAAUUUUGCGCAAUGGGGGAAACCCUGACGCAGCAACGCCGCGUGAGUGAUGAAGGCUUUCGGGUCGUAAAGCUCUGUCAAGUGGGAAGAAACCAUAUGGUGUUAAUAUCGCCAUAUGCUGACGGUACCACUGAAGGAAGCACCGGCUAACUCCGUGCCAGCAGCCGCGGUAAUACGGGGGGUGCGAGCGUUAUUCGGAUUUACUGGGCGUAAAGAGCGCGUAGGCGGUCUUUCAAGUCAGGUGUGAAAGCCCGGGGCUCAACCCCGGAAGUGCACUUGAAACUAAAAGACUUGAGUAUGGGAGAGGGAAGUGGAAUUCCUGGUGUAGCGGUGAAAUGCGUAGAUAUCAGGAGGAACAUCGGUGGCGAAGGCGACUUCCUGGACCAAUACUGACGCUGAGGCGCGAAGGCGUGGGGAGCAAACAGGAUUAGAUACCCUGGUAGUCCACGCAGUAAACGGUGAACACUAGGUGUAGCGGGUAUUGACCCCUGCUGUGCCGCAGCAAACGCAUUAAGUGUUCCGCCUGGGGAGUACGGCCGCAAGGUUAAAACUCAAAGGAAUUGACGGGGGCCCGCACAAGCGGUGGAGCAUGUGGUUUAAUUCGACGCAACGCGAAGAACCUUACCUAGGUUUGACAUCCCGGGAAAUCUGUGGAAACACGGAAGUGCCCUUCGGGGAGCCCGGUGACAGGUGCUGCAUGGCUGUCGUCAGCUCUGUCGUGAGAUGUUGGGUUAAGUCCCGCAACGAGCGCAACCCCUUUCUUUAGUUACCAUCAUUUAGUUGGGGACUCUAAAGAUACUGCCCCGGUUAACGGGGAGGAAGGUGGGGAUGACGUCAAGUCCUCAUGGCCUUUAUGCCUAGGGCUACACACGUGCUACAAUGGACUGUACAAAGGGUUGCCAACCUGUGAAGGUGAGCCAAUCCCAUAAAGCAGUUCGUAGUUCGGAUUGGAGUCUGCAACUUGACUCCAUGAAGCUGGAAUCGCUAGUAAUCGUGGAUCAGAACGCCACGGUGAAUACGUUCCCGGGCCUUGUACACACCGCCCGUCACACCAUGAGAGUUGGUUGUACCAGAAGUCGUUGGGCAAACCUUUCGAGGAUGCAUGCGCCUAAGGUAUGGCUGAUGAUUGGGGUGAAGUCGUAACAAGGUA